CUCCUACGGGAGGCAGCAGUGGGGAAUUUUCCGCAAUGGGCGAAAGCCUGACGGAGCAAUACCGCGUGAGGGAAGAAGGCUCUUGGGUUGUAAACCGCUUUUCUCAGGGAAUAAAAAAAUGAAGGUACCUGAGGAAUAAGCAUCGGCUAACUCCGUGCCAGCAGCCGCGGUAAUACGGAGGAUGCAAGCGUUAUCCGGAAUGAUUGGGCGUAAAGCGUCCGCAGGUGGUACAACAAGUCUACUGUCAAAGACCGGGGCUCAACUCCAGAACGGCGGUGGAAACUGUUGAACUGGAGGGUCGUAGGGGUAGAGGGAAUUCCCAGUGUAGCGGUGAAAUGCGUAGAGAUUGGGAAGAACAUCGGUGGCGAAGGCGCUUUACUGGACUGCAACUGACACUCAGGGACGAAAGCUAGGGGAGCGAAUGGGAUUAGAUACCCCAGUA
rnacentral:rRNA from 1 species